CGAUGGGCCGACGUCGCAUGCUCCGGCCGCCAUGGCGGCCGCGGGAAUCGAUUAGAGUUUGAUCAUGGCUCAGAUUGAACGCUGGCGGCAUGCUUUACACAUGCAAGUCGAACGGUAACAGGCCGCAAGGUGCUGACGAGUGGCGAACGGGUGAGUAAUGCAUCGGAACGUGCCCAGUCGUGGGGGAUAACGCAGCGAAAGCUGCGCUAAUACCGCAUACGAUCUAUGGAUGAAAGCGGGGGACCGUAAGGCCUCGCGCGAUUGGAGCGGCCGAUGUCAGAUUAGGUAGUUGGUGGGGUAAAGGCUCACCAAGCCAACGAUCUGUAGCUGGUCUGAGAGGACGACCAGCCACACUGGGACUGAGACACGGCCCAGACUCCUACGGGAGGCAGCAGUGGGGAAUUUUGGACAAUGGGCGCAAGCCUGAUCCAGCAAUGCCGCGUGCAGGAAGAAGGCCUUCGGGUUGUAAACUGCUUUUGUACGGAACGAAAAGGCUCUGGUUAAUACCUGGGGCACAUGACGGUACCGUAAGAAUAAGCACCGGCUAACUACGUGCCAGCAGCCGCGGUAAUACGUAGGGUGCAAGCGUUAAUCGGAAUUACUGGGCGUAAAGCGUGCGCAGGCGGUUUUGUAAGACAGGCGUGAAAUCCCCGGGCUUAACCUGGGAAUUGCGUUUGUGACUGCAAGGCUGGAGUGCGGCAAAGGGGGUAUGGAAUUCCGCGUGUAGCAUUGAAAUGCGUAAAUAUGCGGAGGAACACCGAUGGCGAAGGCUUCCC
rnacentral:rRNA from 1 species